rnacentral:lncRNA from 1 species
UACGAUCUCGCCCAACAUGACCUUCACCAUGAAACUCCUCAAUCAAUUUCAGACGAAGGCUGCAAUCUGGUAUACACAACUGAACACCUCUAAACACAUACCCAUCCUCUAACAGAAAAGAGGAAUGGGGUCCCUGCAGUAAACUGUGAUAGAUGGGGCCAAAAUAAGGGUCAUCAGCAUAAAGAGAGACAAAGGUCUCAAACCCGGUGACCACUACCUGUAGCCGCGCUAAUAACCCAUGCCGCCGACUGAGCGCAUCUGCCACACGAUUAGAAGAACCAGCCUGAUGUUUAAUGACAAAGUUG